rnacentral:tRNA from 1 species
GGAGAGAUGUCCGAGCGGUUUAAGGAGCACGCCUGGAAAGCGUGUAUAGGGUUUUCCCUAUCGGGGGUUCAAAUCCCCCUCUCUCCG